AUCGAAAAUAGCACUACGCCAACAACGAUCCCGUUGUCGUAACGCUUUAUGGUCUACGAGGCUGAGGAGACUGCGUGGGAGCACCGGAGCCACCUUCCAGGGCUUGGAAACAUGUGCCAGGAGAUAAAUCUUUGACCAUUGGCAAGAGAUGCCACUGAGUAGGUCAAAAAGAUUGAAAAUUCAGCAGCUUCAACUUGAUCCCUAAGAAAGCGAUAAUACAUUUCGAUUGAGACAAAGUAACAGAUGUCAAUUUCCAUUGUAUGGUUGGGAAGUAAGAAAUUCUCAGGACAAUAGUGGCUCACAAACAACUCAAAAUGCUAAGUUAAGAUGUUUGGAUUUAAGGGCAUCCAGGACACCAGGUGUGAGCUUCAUUCUUGUCCAAGCACGUUGGAUCAUUGUCCGAUGAGGUCAGCACAUGAUAUAUUGGGCCAAAAAUGACAAAAUAGCAGAGUACCACUCGGGUACAGUUGACUAAUGUCAAAACCUUAUUUGUAUUUGUAUCUAAAGUAUAUCCGAUUUACUUACUUGUAAGUAUUUCACA